rnacentral:rRNA from 1 species
AGCAGUCGCCACGGUAAUACGUAGGGUGCAAGCGUUAAUCGGAAUUACUGGGCGUAAAGCGUGCGCAGGCGGUUUUGUAAGACAGAGGUGAAAUCCCCGGGCUCAACCUGGGAACUGCCUUUGUGACUGCAAGGCUAGAGUACGGCAGAGGGGGAUGGAAUUCCGCGUGUAGCAGUGAAAUGCGUAGAUAUGCGGAGGAACACCGAUGGCGAAGGCAAUCCCCUGGGCCUGUACUGACGCUCAUGCACGAAAGCGUGGGGAGCAAACAGGAUUAGAUACCCCUGUAGUCCCUGUCUCUUAUAA